GUUCCCUUAAAGACACGAAAAAAAUUACGGAAAUGUAAACAGGUGCAUUUGCGAAAAGAACAAAGCAAGUUCAGGGCAGACUGAGACAAAGUUCACUCUCUGAAUAGUCUUUGUGUUCCACAUUCCUGGACGGGACAGCAGGGGAACAAUUUCUGUCUAAAUGAUCAUCCUAUGGGGAAGAAUCUGUCAAAACAGUCGGUUUUCUGUUAGACUUUGGAAUGUGCAGAUGAGGCUUGGCUUGAUGUCCUGCAGUUCUCAAGAGCAGCAAGGGAGUCCAGCAGAAGGAUGCUAGCAAAGACAGAACGACAUCCCAUACUGAGGAGAACUGGAUGAUCCUGCAGGAGAAAGACUACUGAAGCAAUGCACAGAGCCCCCAGAUCUGUGGUCUAAGUCCUGCUGCUGUGUUCCCGACCUUCAGGGACGGCAUCUCGCCCAUCGACUUUGUCACCCACAGGUGGCGUCCUUUCUGAGAUGGAAGUACUGGAAAUCCAUGUGACCCAUGGAAAGGCAGACGGCUGGUAAUGAAGCUAAGGGAAUGCAGCCCGAAUCAGGAGGUGAGACGAUCAGGCUUGUCUGGGAGUUGGUGGCUGCGGGCCAGCAGG